UACGUAGGGGGCGAGCGUUGUCCGGAUUCAUUGGGCGUAAAGCGCGCGCAGGCGGCCGCGAGAGCCCGGCGUGAAAGCCCCCGGCUCAACCGGGGGAGGCCGUCGGGGACCUCGGGGCUGGAGGCCGGUAGGGGCGAGCGGAAUUCCCGGUGUAGUGGUGGAAUGCGUAGAGAUCGGGAGGAACACCGGUGGCGGAGGCGGCUCGCUGGGCCGGUCCUGACGCUCGGGCGCGAAAGCGUGGGGAGCGAACAGG
rnacentral:rRNA from 1 species